AAAGAGUAUAGCUCUUCUCUUUAAAAAGGAGUAAAACAUACAAGCAUAAGUCAAACUUCUCACGAUUAUGAGGCACUGGUGACUUUUCUCCUGCUGCGGCGUAACUCACUCCUGAGCCAAGAUGUGGAGGCUGGUGGCUCUGUACACAGCAAAAUGCUUCCUGUUUUCUUCUGGCAGAAACUGGCAAAAG
rnacentral:lncRNA from 1 species